UUUUAAUGAGAGUUUGAUCCUGGCUCAGGACGAACGCUGGCGGCGUGCCUAAUACAUGCAAGUAGAACGCUGAGGUUUGGUGUUUACACUAGACUGAUGAGUUGCGAACGGGUGAGUAACGCGUAGGUAACCUGCCUC
rnacentral:rRNA from 2 species